GCAAGUCGAACGACUCAUUAUUUCGUUGAUGAGAAGUGGCAGACGGGUGAGUAACGCGUGGGCAACCUACCUCUCAGUGGGGGAUACCAAACCGAAAGGUUGGUUAAUACCGCAUAACACAGAUAUGUCAAAGUCGGGGAUCCGGGAAACUGGACCUGACGCUGGAAGAGGGGCUCGCGUCGGAUUAGCUUGUUGGUGAGGUAACGGCUCACCAAGGCGACGAUGCGUAGCCGGCCUGAGAGGGUGAUC
rnacentral:rRNA from 1 species